AUGGCAGAAAUCACGCAGACUCUGAUUCCCGCCGAGAACCAGGCUAAAGAACCACUCAUGGCAAGACGGGGCCCACCGGCCUGCUGGCUCCUCACCAAACUCUACUCCGCACUGACUGUGGGCUCUUGUUCUAGAGGCCCCCGCAUCCUCAGGAUGAAAUCCUCUGAUUCAACAGAAAUCUGGAAGGGUUCACAGCUUGGCCCAGAGAAGAUCGUUUUAAAUCUACAGCUUUAAAAUGUGGUUGAAAAGGAGCCCAGGUUGGAUCCUGCCAGCAGGUCUGCUGGCCGCUGUUACCUCCCCACUGUCAAUGCCUAGGUCUCUUCCUCCAGCCCUGUUUCAGCCUGUCCUUGAGGAUUUGCUUCACCUCAUUUACUGAGCCUGCCACAGAUUCAUUACCUGGCAUCAGAGCUCCCCUCUCACUGCGCCUGCCCAGAGGGGUGCCAGUAUACUAGCCAGAUGCCGCUGGAGGGACUCCACAAUAAAGCCUGGCUAUUGAAGACUUCAACACUCUCAUAAAGUCACUUUGCCAGCUGUAGAGCACACAAGUGCCCGCAGAUCCAAGCCUCCUACCUUCCCCAAAGAAACACCUUGGAUAAAGCCUUGGGAUAUCAUCCACAUGGCUCCAGCCAACACAUGAAUUCCCUUACACCAGCACAUGGUCUCUCUUUCCUGUUCAUUCACUUUGGAAGACAGUCCUUGAAAUGACAAGGCCUGGAGUGUCUUGUACAACUACCGCCAAUCCGGUUUCCAGCAGAGGCUUGUGGGCUAGGGAGUGUAUCGAUUUGUAUUGUUAAAGAAAUUUCCUGCUCCUCUCAGUGUCAGCUGAAGGGCCCUCUGCAGUCAUUCUCCUAUUUUGAGAGAAGUGAAACAAGAGGAGACCAACUAACUCCUGGUUCCUACCUACGGGGUGUUUAGACCAGUGACAAUGUUAGUCCUACAAUUUGGAUUUAUUUGUUUAUUUAUUUUUUAAUCACCGCCAUUUCUCCAAGUACAAAGUCUGUGUCUAUAAAGCAAUUAGAUAUCUUCCAUAUGUUACACCGGCAAGUCCAUCUCAUCAUUUUACAGCGGGAUGGUGACUUCCUUUAGUCCCCCAUACUGACCGCGGUCCCUCACCUACUGACUGACUGACUUGUAAAUCUGCCCCCACCCACUUGUCUGUCCUUUGAAGGCAAAUUCGCCAACGGGAACACAGUAGUU
rnacentral:lncRNA from 1 species